rnacentral:rRNA from 1 species
UACGAAGGGGGCUAGCGUUGCUCGGAAUCACUGGGCGUAAAGCGCACGUAGGCGGGUCGUUAAGUCAGGGGUGAAAUCCUGGAGCUCAACUCCAGAACUGCCCUUGAUACUGGCGAUCUUCGAGUCGGGAGAGGUGAGUGGAACUGCGAGUGUAGAGGUGAAAUUCGUAGAUAUUCGCAAGAACACCAGUGGCGAAGGCGGCUCACUGGCCCGGUACUGACGCUGAGGUGCGAAAGCGUGGGAG